rnacentral:rRNA from 1 species
AUUGAACGCUGGCGGCAUGCCUUACACAUGCAAGUCGAACGGCAGCACGGGAGCAAUCCUGGUGGCGAGUGGCGAACGGGUGAGUAAUAUAUCGGAACGUGCCCAGUCGUGGGGGAUAACGUAGCGAAAGCUACGCUAAUACCGCAUACGAUCUAUGGAUGAAAGCGGGGGAUCGCAAGACCUCGCGCGAUUGGAGCGGCCGAUAUCAGAUUAGGUAGUUGGUGAGGUAAAGGCUCACCAAGCCGACGAUCUGUAGCUGGUCUGAGAGGACGACCAGCCACACUGGGACUGAGACACGGCCCAGACUCCUACGGGAGGCAGCAGUGGGGAAUUUUUGGGACAAUGGGCGCAAGCCUGAUCCAGCAAUGCCGCGUGCAGGAUGAAGGCCUUCGGUUGGUUAAACGUUAG